UGGUGGGUGCGAGGCCAUUUGAGGAUGAGCCUUAUGUUGACUUGGAUGGCGAUAUAUACGGGAUCUCGGUCCAAACCGGGUCCCUGUGGAGCAGGGGUGCAAUAG